ensembl:lncRNA
AUUCAGUUUAGGGGUAGCUUAAAGUCUACUUAAAAAACCCACUUAGGCCUUGCUUGUCCUUUCCAGGGUCCCUUUCCAAGUUCAUCUUGUACCAGCUGCUCUUUGCAACCUUCCAGCCAACUUCAGCCAGGCUCACUUUCUUUGUGUUCUCAGACUCAUAGACCUUUCUGCCCCUGGACCUCUGGCUACGGUACACCCCUCCUUGAAGGCCCAGCUCCAGCUCCUGUGUGGCUGGCUCAUGCUCCUUUAGGGGGUUUUGCCCAGAUAUCCUUCCUCAAGGAGAUUGCCUUGUCUUUAUUAGUCUCUGCCCAUCUCUCAUCUCUUAGCACCACUGACAAUUAUCUGCUUCCAACUGAAUGUCAGAUGCAUAGUACAGUGUCUGGCUUACAGUGGUUCCUCAAUACACAUUUGAGGAAAGAAUGAAAUAAUGUGCAGUUUUCUGCCAGAGCUAUCUAGGAACACAUUGUGAUCAUCUGGAGCAUACUUUCCACAAAGCCCUGGUAUUCCCUCAUCCCCACCUCAGUGCCAUGAUCAUUCCUUCCUCUAGUGAAGGACUCUUCCCCUCUUAUGAAGGGAGGAAAAUUGAGGAUAUUCUGCUUUUUGUAUCUUCCUUGGCUCUCCAGUCCUGCUGUAUAUUUCAUGUGCAAUAUUUUAGACUUGCAGUUAGGGCACCUGGCUUCAAAAGAAACCUCAAUGGUAGUCUGGCUAAAUUAACCUUCUUUAAUACCUUUAGGUCCGGGUCAGUAGGGAUCAUACAAUCAGCUCAGGCUCCUUUACAUUGUUAUCAAGUGUCAAAGAGACUAGGAUGUAUGGAAAUGCCAUUUAUUUUGGGCAAUUCACUUAGUAUCUAAGAUAAUGGACCCAUAAUCUUCAUUUGUAACAUAAACACACAACUCUCCUAUUGAUGUUGAGAGCUUGGGCAUGGAAGUCCAUGGUGGAGCAUGCAAACAGGAAAAUACCCACCUGUCAUCUGAAAGGAGCACCUGAGCCACAGGGAAUAAAAGAGGUCUUGUGGUGAUUUGCAUACUGAUUUGCAUAUUGCUCAAAAGUCAUUUGAGGCAGGUCGGCACACAUCAUAGUAUAUAAUGCUCUUGGCUCUUCCUGCCACCAUCCUUGCCCUCUGCACCUGCUGGAGCCCAGCCAGGGAAGGUGCUGGGUCAGGCUGGCCCUGGGACCCCUUACCAUCUCCUCACCAUCUCCUCCUCCUAGAGUCUCGCCCUGCAGAGAGCCUGGACUGCCAUGUUGCCUGAUGGAUGGCAGGCCUUCAGCGUGACUGAGCUUUCACACUUGAAACCAUUAAAGGUUUCCCACUCUCUUCCUUGGGAGCUCCCACGGGUGUACAGGUCCUGGCCUUCUCUUUCCAGCCCCACCAGAGGGAGGCCACACACCUGAUGGACUGGACAAUCACAGGUGGAUGAGGGGAUACAUUCCAGUCUCUCAGUGGAUGCCUGAAACCAUGGAUAGUUCCUGGGCUGUGAAUGGAAUCCACCUCCACUCCCAGAUCCUCAUCCCAUUAUAGGGUCAGUCAUGGAACCCAGGCAUGGACCACUGGAACAUGGUCACUGGUUUAGGGAUGGUCAUGUGAUCCAACCAAGCCAAUGGGACUCAGCUUUGGGACUUUUGCUGAAACUGUAGAUAAAGAACAAGUUAGCCACUAUUGCCCUCCCAAUUUGAUAUCUGAUGAGAAUAAAGUUGCUACCUAAGAAAACCUACCUGGAAGGUGGAGAUAUCAAGAAUUCUGACCUUAAGAAUCCAGCUAUUUUCCAUUUUCUUUAUGUCCAGAUCAAGCUGAAUUCUGUCAUUUGCAAGCAGAAGAGUCCUGACUGAUACAAGAGUGGGACAGCCUGGAGAUGACUACAGAGAAGCAUCCAGUCUAGCUUGGCCAAGAGGGCAUAGCUUUGGGGUUGAGUGAGAUGCUAGGUACCGGGGGAUUGAACUCAAGUCCUUCAGCUUUUGAGGCAGGUGGCAGAAACAAUGAGCUAAAUCCCCAGCCCUCUCUUUACAAGUGAAUUAUCU